GGGGUUCGUCCCGCGUCGGCUUCUAUAGCCGGCAUAUUGGAAACGGUUCUUGAGAAGGAGCGGUGAGCACAGUAGUGUGGCCCGUGAGGUGCUACUCUCAGUGCUGAAUUUAUUUCAGGGGGCUGCAGAUGUUUCUUCCUAGUCACCGAUUUUGAUUUACUCCCCCAAAUAUUACUAGAACGAGAUGGCACGCAAACAUACGGCACUCUUCCAGACGUCUCAUUCUGCUUGACUCAAAAAGGACCAACUCUCAGUUUAAAAAAAGAAAAAAAGAACUAAACGUGUGACUAUCAGUCUGGAACCAAUUAAAACAACAGCUAAUGAAGAGAAGUUUCAUGCUGACUUCAUGAUGGUAAGACAAGAAGACAGUGACAGGAAGAUUAGAACCUAAUCUCUGGUACUCAUACUGGUAU
rnacentral:lncRNA from 1 species